UCAGAGAUCACAGUCGGGUGGAUGCCGUGUGACAGAAGGACCUGGCACUGUUUCAGGAGAGCGCCGGCAAUGACGACGACGGUGGUGGUUCCAUCUCCGGCGGCAGCAUCCUGUGACUUAGAAAGCUCGACGAGCAUUUUGGCGGCGGGUUGGAGGACCUCCAUCUUGUUAAGAAUCGUGGCGCCGUCGUUGGUGAUGAUAACCUCGCCGUUAGCGGUGGAGAUCAUCUUGUCCAUACCCUUGGGUCCCAGGCUGGUUCGAACGGCAUCGGCAACGGCUCGAGCGGCGGUGAUGUUGGCCUGGCGGAUGUCCUCCUUGCGCUUGUUGUCGACAUAGGACUCGGUCUUGGAGGAGCGCGGUUGGGAGAUCACUGCCGGUGAAGCCAUGGAUGCUGGGAUC
rnacentral:lncRNA from 1 species